AUAGCGUAUACUAAUAUUGCUGUUGUUAAAAAGCUCGUAGUUGGAUCUCGGUUUCGGGCGGGUGGUGCGCCUUGCGGCGUUUACUGUCUGCCCGGACGAUUUUGUUGGUACGUUCAUGGUGCUCUUCAUCGGGUGCCUUGAGUGGCCAGCACGUUUACUUUGAAAAAAUUGGAGUGCUCAAAGCAGGCGCUACAGCCUGAACAAUUGUGCAUGGAAUAAUGGAAUAGGAUCUCGGUUCUAUUUCGUUGGCUUUCGGAGUCGAGGUAAUGAUUAAUAGGGACAGACGGGGGCAUUCGUACUGCGACGUUAGAGGUGAAAUUCUUGGAUCGUCGCAAGACGAACUACUG
rnacentral:rRNA from 1 species